rnacentral:rRNA from 1 species
GGAGUUAGCCGGUGCUUCUUCUGUGAGUGAUGUCCUUCCUGCCGGCUAUUAACCCGCAGGCCUUCUUCCUCACUGAAAGUGCUUUACAACCCGAAGGCCUUCUUCACACACGCGGCAUGGCUGGAUCAGGGUUGCCCCCAUUGUCCAAUAUUCCCCACUGCUGCCUCCCGUAGGAGUCUGGGCCGUGUCUCAGUCCCAGUGUGGCUGAUCAUCCUCUCAGACCAGCUACGGAUCGUCGCCUUGGUGAGCCGUUACCUCACCAACCAGCUAAUCCGACAUAGGCUCAUCCGAUAGCGCGAGGCCCGAAGGUCCCCCGCUUUCCCCCGUAGGGCGUAUGCGGUAUUAGCCUGGGUUUCCCCAGGUUAUCCCCCACUACCGGGCAGAUUCCUAUGCAUUACUCACCCGUCCGCCGCUCGCCACCAGGGAGCAAGCUCCCCGUGCUGCCGCUCGACUUGCAUGUGUUAGGCCUGCCGCCAGCGUUCAAUCUGACACGAUACAACUAACUNACUACUAGAGGCGGCGUCGACGACGGCGACAGU